GGGAUAGCCUUUCGAAAGAAAGAUUAAUACCCGAUGGCAUAGUUCUUCCGCAUGGUGGAAUUAUUAAAGAAUUUCGGUCAUCGAUGGGGAUGCGUUCCAUUAGGUUGUUGGCGGGGUAACGGCCCACCAAGCCUUCGAUGGAUAGGGGUUCUGAGAGGAAGGUCCCCCACAUUGGAACUGAGACACGGUCCAAACUCCUACGGGAGGCAGCAGUGAGGAAUAUUGGUCAAUGGACGAGAGUCUGAACCAGCCAAGUAGCGUGAAGGAUGACUGCCCUAUGGGUUGUAAACUUCUUUUAUACGGGAAUAAAGUGAGGCACGUGUGCCUUUUUGUAUGUACCGUAUGAAUAAGGAUCGGCUAACUCCGUGCCAGCAGCCGCGGUAAUACGGAGGAUCCGAGCGUUAUCCGGAUUUAUUGGGUUUAAAGGGAGCGUAGGCGGACGCUUAAGUCAGUUGUGAAAGUUUGCGGCUCAACCGUAAAAUUGCAGUUGAUACUGGGUGUCUUGAGUACAGUAGAGGCAGGCGGAAUUCGUGGUGUAGCGGUGAAAUGCUUAGAUAUCACGAAGAACUCCGAUUGCGAAGGCAGCUUGCUGGACUGUAACUGACGCUGAUGCUCGAAAGUGUGGGUAUCAAACAGGAUUAGAUACCCUGGUAGUCCACACAGUAAACGAUGAAUACUCGCUGUUUGCGAUAUACAGUAAGCGGCCAAG
rnacentral:rRNA from 1 species